GUGAGAAUAUGGUUCACCUAACACCAUCUAUUCAGUUUUUUGUGGACCAUUGGAUGAAGAUCGACGGCCGAGAUUUAAUCUUGGGAGAGAUGUUGUGACUUGAUGGUAUUGAUGUUGACACAAUAAGGUCUUCCCACGUUUUUGGCAGAGGCAUGGUCUUUACUUCCUUCCCCUUCUUAUGUAAACUCUCUCUGCCAUUUCAAAGUGGAGCUCUCGGUCAGGAUCGAUUUUCAACAAAGGGUGGUGGUUCUUCAUUGGUUUUCCCCUCUCUCUUGGAAGGUAAUUUGCAAGUCAUGGAAGGCUGUUCCUGAGCCUGAAAAACAGCCAUUAGAAGGGAAGAAAGCUGCUGCAAGGAAGGAGAAAAAUCUGUCCAAAUUCCGGCCGAACACAGGUUGUAUUUUUCCAUCCCUUUUUUCAUUGUUUUGCCUUAGAAUUUCUUCUAUUGUUUG
rnacentral:lncRNA from 1 species